ensembl:lncRNA
AGAUUGUCUGAAUCCGGGCUUUAGCUUCCCUGUGCCUCAGGUCCCUGUCUGUGAAAAGAAGAUAAAUUGACUUCCCUGCUUCACAGUGAUAUUGGACAGACAAAUUCAUCUCAGACUGUACUACUGAGGUACUACUGAGAGGAGGAUUUCUCAAGGGAAGACAGAAACAGAAUGCAUAUGAUAGAAGAGUAUACUAGACACUCUGAUCAAAAAAGAUAAAAAAAGCCAGUUCUUUGAAUUAACACUGCACAGUUUCUAACAUCUCAAGAUUGUUCAUUGUCUAAUGUUUGUUUGGCCUUUUUUUUUUUUUUUCUUUGACCAGUGAGGAAAUGUUUUGAUCCACUGUGACACGAAAAUAGAAAUGGUCCAGUACUAUCAGAAAAUCAAAGGUCACAAAAGCUGAACAUUUUCUGGUAUGGUGUUCAAAGAAAAACAGCAGCUGACGGGAUGCAAAAUAGAUACAUUUGCACUGUGGCACAUAAGCAGCUAUUCUUGAGUCACAUAGAAAGCAGUAGCAAAGAAUGAGUACCAUCGGAAAGAAUAUUAAAAAAAUCUUGCUAUCUAAGCAUGCAGGCAGUCCUGUUCUGGAAGACAGAGUAGAUCACAUUAUAAAGGAGAAGCUAUGAUAUUUAUUGGCUUUCAAGGAAAAGUGCCAUCCAGAAGAACACAUUUGAACAUAGAUCCAUACAAAACACUGCAUAGUGUGAGGACAUCUUUCUGAUUUUGUGUGACAGGAACACCCUAAAGCCAGGAGAUAAGCUGUGGGCUUUUCCCAUGCAAUUUUAAAAGGCCAGGACUGACUGUAGAUCAGUAAGACAUAAGUUUCUUUCAUCUAUUGAAUGGGACUUGAAAGAGCUCAAACAAUAUUAAACAUACAGUCACAGAACAGAAAUAAUAGAAUCAUUUAGCGAACUGAGAACUCUGGAUCUGAACUACCUCCAGAUAACAUCAUACUGCUAUAGUCAUAGCUUAAAAUCACAGAACAGAAAUAGUGCAACUGAGUAACCACACUGACACAAAAAUGCAAGUUGUUAUUUUUUAAGCAACUUUCCCAUGCCUGUUUUAGAACAACAAGCUCAGAUAACAUCAAGAAGACAUGGCAAAAUGCUGUACCCUUCAAAAAGAGCUAAACACUGUAGAAGAAGCUAGCGUAAGUUUCAGAAAACAAUGUAAAUCAAGAAAUUGUCACAGAAAGCACAGACAGGCAGAAAGGAGAUAUGUCAUACUUGAGCUGGAGAAAAAAUAACUUAAGUAUAAUGAAGCUAAUGUCAGGAAAAUUAAUUCCCGAAUAAUUCCUGAUAUUUUCUUGAGUGUAAGUACUCAUGAGUAAAAAUGUUUCAGUCAGUAAUCUUAAAAAAACAAACAAACAAACAAACAACAACAACAACAAAAAAAAACAACCUGCAACAGAUGAACCUUUUCACUUGGUAACUUGAAUUACCCCACAAAUCAACCGAAGAUGUAUUACUGAGCUGUAGUAACUGUAAGAGAUUAUUCUUUUGCAUCACUGUCUCAAAGCCUGCUGAGAGACACAGAUGAACAAGUCCAAGCAAGUCCUGGUUGAGGCCUUUGUCUGGAGAACACAGACGGACAAGUCCUGGUCAAGGGUUGCGAAAUCCUUUGUCUGAGGGACGCAGAUGGACAAGGACAGGAGCGAAGAGAGAGAGAGAGACGGAGAGCUUAAUGGCCAGGAAGCAGUCUUUUGUGUGGGCUUAUCUCGAGGAAGAUAACCAUUUCAGGGGGUACUGAACAUGCAUGACUCUUACCCCAGGAAUGCAACGUUGGCAGAAGAAGGAUAAAAAAAGGGACGAACAACCAUGAGAUUAGGUUUUCUGACAACAGGUUCCUGACAAAGAAGAGGUUUCUGACAACAGAUUCCUCAUGCUGAAGAAGAGAGAGGUUUUCUGACAACACAUUCCUCAUGAAGAAGAACAAGAACGUUUCUGACAUGAGAAGCCUCACGACCUGCCUCUCCCUCCUGGACUUGCUCUGCGCUCUACCUGCUUGCUCUCUAAGGCUGGCUACUCUGCUGCUGCUCUCCCCCUAAGAGGGUGUCUGCUAUCAGAUCCCUCACUAACAGAGUGCCUGCAUGCUGAUAGACUCUCCAGGGCCUGCUACCGGAGACCUGCUACUUCCUCCUGGACUUACCUGCACCUUCUUGUUGUCCAAGACCAGCCACGCUGCUGCUGCUCCCCCCCCCGUGCUUUUGCCCCAGACCAUCAGAACGUCAUGCAACAGGACCGCUGCUGGAUCCUGGUGGUGGCUAUCCCCACUUUACGCAAUUCUUGCCUCUUUCUAUUGCCCAUCUUCCCUUCCCCAUCACCCUACAACAACCAGUUCUUCAUGGAAUAUCAGGUUAUUAAGAGGUGUUAUGGCAGCCCUAUUACUAAAUCAUGUAAAACUAAAAAAGACUAUUAUGAGUCAUAAAAAGGAAUUUGGAAUCAAAGACUUUUGAAUUGCACUGUCUACCUGUGUGCCUAUAAUCCAGUUCAAACAGAUCUUUCUUUCCUAAUUAAUACAGAAAUAUAAAAAAACAAACACCACCACCAAACUAAAAACAAAAACAACCAAAAACUACACCACAGAAUUUUGAAAUAAACCAAAACAAACUUUCUCCAAGAGUUUCCUACCAACUCUGUCUAUAUUAAUUCAAAUGAAGCAUGAUUUCUGUCUUUUUACAUUGCAAUUCAAUGUAGACUCUUAAAACAAUAUCAGAAUAAGCUUUUGUGCCUUUCUCCCCUUUCCGAGAAAAAUCACAUCUACGUAAAAUGUCAACUAAAGACAAACUAAAGAUAUAAUUUCAGAUAAUGUUUGUUGUCUAAUAUUUCUUGUAUUUGUCCAGCUUCUGAGCAACAUAAAUUGAACACUCUUAAAUUUCUGUCCCACACAGAAUAUAAUAUUAAUGUAAUUUUCAUGGAUUUUCUGCCAAUUUUUCUCUCAAGGAAAAUUGUUUAAAUUUGUCUCGACACAAUUUGAGCUUUGUUGUACCUGAAGUGAAUAAACUUGUAAAG